GACGGUGAGUCUCGACUUUCAGAUUAAAGCACAAACCAAUAAUAAACUGACAGCAAAACAAUAUAGAGCAGAAAUACUAGAAUAAAAACCUUAAAGGUCUACAAACACAAUUUUGAACGAGUCAAAGGUUCAGGGAGGGAGGAGGGUGCGGGGGGUGACACGGUGACUCAAGAGUAAUCACUGUGUAUCACUCUGUAUGGUUGACCCCGGGUCCUUGAAGAGGUGAAGAAUGGGGCGCAGGCAGAGAGUGAUUCGUGACAGAGGAAUAGCAUCACAGGUGAAAGGUCAGGUUUAUAAGACAUUAGUGAGAGCGGCUACGAUGGACGGUGUACGGUAUUUUCACUGGGAGUGAAAGGAACGAUCAUGAUUAGAAAUAAACAGAUCAGAGGGAAUAGAACAGCAGUGGACUGAAGACUGACCCUGAGGUUCACCUGUGUCCAGGUCAGUCUUCCAUCACCAGCUGAGGUCUGUUGGCCAAGCAGUCCAGGACCCAUCUGUACAAGGAGCUGCACACUUUGGUCCUUCAUAACUAGAACCUAAUUAUGUAAAUAAGGAGUUGUGAUCCAGGUGGUGGAGGAAACACAACAGAACCUGCAUCAAAGCUGGAAUUGUUUGGUCUGUAGGUGAAUGGAGGGGCCCAUGUAAAGUAGGCAAUUAAUGAGGAAGGGGUCCUUCAUCUAUUCUCUCAAAGCACUUUAUGACGGUGGAAGAGAGUCAUAUAAGCGGUGAUAACAGUAUAGCUUUAGUUUUCUUGAACGGGGCGGAACUACAGACUCCGACUUGGAAACGUACAAAUGACUGAGGACACAGACAUGUAACACCUGCCGUGCCAAAGCCAAGUACGGGUGGACGUAAAGAUCCCAGGACACAAUGGCAGUGAGGUGGUACAUCGGAGACUGCUACUGCAGGAGUUCUGGUGACACAGUACAGGAGUUG